GACGAACGCUGGCGGCGUGCUUAACACAUGCAAGUCGAACGGAAAGGCCCUGCUUUUGUGGGGUGCUCGAGUGGCGAACGGGUGAGUAACACGUGAGUAACCUGCCCUUGACUUUGGGAUAACUUCAGGAAACUGGGGCUAAUACCGGAUAGGAGCUCCUGCUGCAUGGUGGGGGUUGGAAAGUUUCGGCGGUUGGGGAUGGACUCGCGGCUUAUCAGCUUGUUGGUGGGGUAGUGGCUUACCAAGGCUUUGACGGGUAGCCGGCCUGAGAGGGUGACCGGCCACAUGGGGAUGGGGAUACGGCCCAGACUCCUACGGGAGGCAGCAGGGGGGAAUAUGGCACAAGGGGCGGAGGCCGAAGGCAGCAACGCCGCGUGCGGGAGGAGGGCCUUCGGGUGGUAAACCGCUUUCGCCUGUGACGAAGCGUGAGUGACGGUAAUGGGGAAAGAAGCACCGGCUAACUACGG
rnacentral:rRNA from 1 species